rnacentral:sRNA from 1 species
GCUCAUCCGCCCUCUUAUGAUAGCCUAGCUUCAUAAACUUUAGGAUGAUGCAGUUACAAGAGUAAUGGUGUCUAACGUCCACCUUUUGAUGAGAGUGUAAACUUCAUCUACCACCGGACGAAACGUUGAGUGAGACACCACC